rnacentral:rRNA from 1 species
UACGAAGGGGGCUAGCGUUGCUCGGAAUCACUGGGCGUAAAGCGCACGUAGGCGGCUUUCUAAGUCAGAGGUGAAAUCCUGGAGCUCAACUCCAGAACUGCCUUUGAUACUGAGGAUCUUGAGUACGGGAGAGGUGAGUGGAACUGCGAGUUUAGAGGUGAAAUUCGUAGAUAUUCGCAAGAACACCAGUGGCGAAGGCGGCUCACUGGCCCGGUACUGACGCUGAGGUGCGAAAGCGUGGGGAGCAAACAGGG